rnacentral:piRNA from 1 species
UUUGAUGUCUGUAAUCGAUGG